rfam:Lasius niger Lnig_2.1_8195, whole genome shotgun sequence.
AAAUCGGCCCUUUUCAGGGCCAAUAAAUCCUCUUACGAAGGAAUGU